rnacentral:rRNA from 1 species
GUGGGGAAUUUUGGACAAUGGGCGAAAGCCUGAUCCAGCCAUGCCUCGUGCAGGAUGAAGGCCUUCGGGUUGUAAACUGCUUUUGUACGGAACGAAAAGACUCCUUCUAAUAAAGGGGGUCCAUGACGGUACCGUAAGAAUAAGCACCGGCUAACUACGUGCCAGCAGCCGCGGUAAUACGUAGGGUGCAAGCGUUAAUCGGAAUUACUGGGCGUAAAGCGUGCGCAGGCGGUUAUAUAAGACAGAUGUGAAAUCCCCGGGCUCAACCUGGGAACUGCAUUUGUGACUGUAUAGCUAGAGUACGGUAGAGGGGGAUGGAAUUCCGCGUGUAGCAGUGAAAUGCGUAGAUAUGCGGAGGAACACCGAUGGCGAAGGCAAUCCCCUGGACCUGUACUGACGCUCAUGCACGAAAGCGUGGGGAGCAAACAGGAUUAGAUACCCUUGUAGUCC